CAUUAAAUCAUAUGUGAUUUCUUAGAUCGUUGCGUCCCUUCGGGGAUGUUUGGAUAACUGUGGCAAUUCUAGAGCUAAUACAUGCAAUCAAGCUCCAACCUUCGGGGACGAGCGCUCUUAUUAGACCAAGGCCAACCUGCUGGGCAACUGGCAGUUAGCUGUGGUGACUCUGGAUAAACACAGUUGAUCGCACGACUUUACGUCGGCGACGUAUCUUUCAAGCGUAUGCCCUAUCAGCUGUCGACGGUAGGGUAGCGGCCUACCGUGGCAUCAACGGGUAACGGGGGAUCAGGGUCCGAUCCCGGAGAGUAAGCCUGAGAGACGGCUUACACAUCUAAGGAAGGCAGCAGGCGCGCAAAUUACCCAAUGGGGAAACCCUGAGGUAGUGACAAGAAAUAACAAUACGCGACUCUUUCGAGGCCGCGUAAUUGGAAUGAGCACAGUCUAAAUCCUUUAGCGAGGAUCAAUUGGAGGGCAAGUCUGGUGCCAGCAGCCGCGGUAAUUCCAGCUCCAAUAGCGUAUAUUAAAGUUGCUGCAGUUAAAAAGCUCGUAGUUGACAAUCGGCGCUCGUCUCGGCGGUCCUGUUCACGCAGGCACUGCCUUGACGGCCUCUACACACUGGCUUGCGGUCGUGCAGGCUGGGAGACUGGCAGCACGUACCAGAGCCCCGGGUGCCCUUCAUUGGGUGCCCGUGGGUGGCCUUUGCGUUUACUUUGAAGAAAUUAGAGUGUUCAAAGCGGGCUCUUGAUAGCUCGGAUACUCGUACAUGGAAUAAUGGAAUAGGACCCUGGGUCAUUUCCG
rnacentral:rRNA from 1 species